AUGCAUGGGGGGCAUGGAAAGAGGUUCUCUGAUCUCUGUGACUUGGGCCAUAGAAAGCAGAAGCUACUUCCCACCAAUACCACACACAGUGGAGAAAGGAAGACUCCUAGAAUGGAAAUCAAGGGGGGAUUAGGAAGGAACAGAACUCCUGGACAGUCCAAGUCCCAUUUACGAGACAUCAGGAAAAAGCUGCUCCAUCCUCAUAGCAGUGGAAACAGUCAUUCUCACUGGUUUGGAGCUGAUACUGUCUACGGAGAGGAGACUUCAUUUGUAAUCAUAUACAAGCUGUAAAGGACGUUGGUUCUUCAGAAGUGGUUUGAAUGAGGAAAUUCUUUUCAACUCUCUAAAAUUCUGGUGAGAAAAAUCUUCCAACCAAGGGAAUUGCCCUUCUAUAAAAAAGGCAGUUUUGAGAAGAAUGUGCUAAUUUGGCAAAUGAGUAAGGUGGUUUGUGUCCAGUCUAAACCUACAGCUUCUCCAAUAUCCCUGGGGACUCCUGGGAGGCAGAAUAGCUUGAGGGCUUGAUUAUUACCCAAAGUUCAAAGCAGGGGGAGGAAAACACAAGAAAGGGGAGGAUUAGGAUGCUGGGUGGCUCAGUGGUUAAGCAUCUGCCUUUGGCUCAGGUCAUGAUCCCAGGGUCCCAGGAUUGAGUCCCACAUCAGGUUCCCCACAGGGAGCCUGCUUCUCCCUCUGCCUAUGUAUCUGCUUCUCCCUGUGUGUCUCUCAUGAAUAAAAAAAUAAAUAAAAUCUUAGAGGUGGGGGGA
rnacentral:lncRNA from 1 species